GACAGAGGUGCCAAGCGUUAGGCGGAAUCACUGGGCUUAAAGCGUGUGUAGGCGGGUCGUUAAGUCCCUUGUGAAAUCCCCCGGCUCAACCGGGGAACGGCUGGGUAUACUGGCGAUCUUGAGCCACCUAGGGGCAGUCGGAACAAGUGGUGGAGCGGUGAAAUGCGUAGAUAUCACUUGGAACGCCAAUGGUGAAAACAGACUGCUGGGGGUGUGCUGACGCUGAGACACGAAAGCCAGGGGAGCAAACGGG
rnacentral:rRNA from 1 species